rnacentral:rRNA from 1 species
GACGAACGCUGGCGGCGUGCCUAAUACAUGCAAGUCGAACGCAGUGGGGACGGGUGAGUAACACGUGGGUAACCUCCCAUCAGAGGGGAUAACACUUGGAAACAGGUGCUAAACCGACACUGGUGGAUGGACCAGCGGUGCAUUAGCUAGUUGGUGAGGUAACGGCUCACCAAGGCGACGAUGUAUAUCUGGCCUGAGAGGAUGAUCGGACACAAUGGGACUGAGACACGGCCCAGACUCCUACGGGAGGCAGCAGUAGGGAAUCUUCGGCAAUGGACGAAAGCCUGACCGAGCCACGCCGCGUGAGUGAAGAAGGUUUUCGGAUCGUAAAACACUGUUGGUAGGGAAGCGGUAUCUAACCAGGAAGCAACGGCUAACUACGUGCCAGCAGCCGCGGUAAUAC